GGAGGGGUGGCCGAGUGGACGAUGGCGGCGGUCUUGAAAACCGCUAACCGCCUAUGGUGGUUCGUGGGUUCGAAUCCCACCCCCUCCGCCA
rnacentral:tRNA from 1 species